GGCCGUCGGGCUGGGAGCCCGGGGCCAGGGUCCGGGAGCUCCCCGCGCCCCAGGCUGAGGGCGGGGGCGCCGCUGCGCGCCGUGACAGCCCCGUCAUUAUUGUAUUAUUACUUGUUUAGUUCAAACGCUGUCCCAGCUGCUCGAGGUGUAAACAGGCUUUGGCAAGGUGACAGCCUGCGCGGCGGGCGCUGCUGCUCAGUUUGAGGACGCGCGUUUCUCGCCGCCCCCUUUGCACCGCAGCUCCCGGCCCCCUGCAGCCCCUCGGCCGCAGAUCCAGAUGUGGGCGCCGGGCUCCCGGGGUGGGAGGAUCGCCCGAGGCCGCGGGGCAGGCUGGCCCUGCGCUGUCAGCAGCGGCUUUGUUUUGACAGGGGUCAAGUUCCCAGGUUCCAGAUUCCCACGGCCAAACUGCAUCGACCGCUUCUGGAUUUUGACGUAAAGAUUGUUCAUCCUGCUGGAACCUCUCUCCCUACAGUGAUGCCGUUUUCAGUAUUUACUGGAGCUUCUCAAGCGCACGGGAAUGUCUGUGCUUACUAACUGCCCUUUUCCCCCACACCAUUCACAUCCUCGUGUGUGGGAUGAAUGCCCACCGUGUCCCCUACAUGGGUGUAAUAAAUAAUUGCUGAAGGAAUGUAGUAGGAUCUAGCUCUACUGCUUUUCAAACUUUGAGGUGCAUAGGGAUCACCUGGGGAGCUUUACUUUUUUUUUCUUAAGAUUUUAUUUAUUUCUUCAUGAGAGACAUAGAGCACGAGAGAGAGGCAGAGACACAGGCAGAGGGAGAAGCAGACUCCAUGCGAGGAGCCAGACAUGGGACUCGAUCCCGGGUCUCCAGAGUCACCACCUGGGCCAAAGGUGGCGCUAAACCUCUGAGCCACCCAGGCUGCUCACCUGGGGAGCUUUAAAAUGCAAAUUCUGAAUCGGUGGAUCUGGAGUGGGGCUGAGAUUCUGCAUCUCGAACAAACUCUCAGAUGAUGUGAUGCCAGUCCAAUGACCACGCUCCAAGUAGCAAGUCCCUGGUUCAGACGUGGGCAAUGUUUUAUUAAUCCCUUUUGAAUUCAGCCAAGAAAGCAAACUGCCCUCCUCUGAGGGCAAUACAGGGUUGGUGUUUAUGAAGGACUGCAAAAAAGAUAGAGGGGAGGAUACUUCUAAGAAAGGUGAAAGGCCACAAGGUGAUCAUAAGGGGCAUAAGGCUAGUGGCAACAAGGCAUGGAGUCUAGUAGGCAGAUGGGAGAACUGUGCCCAGAAUGGAAAACAAGGUCAUUUAUUUAUUGGACUUGACAUUCUGCAGCUGGAAUGGGUUCAUGUAGUAACUGUCAGUUCAGUCACUUUUUAUUAGGUUCCCCACACCAACACCUUCUCUCCCAGCAGCCUGCCUUAAUAUCUGAAAAAUUCCCUGAAGUUUUGGUCCCAAGAACCAUGAGCCUAUGUGAUGUGCCCUGCACUGAUGUCUUUGAUCCUUUCAGAUUUCUGAGAGUGAGGUGUAGCACCUUUCCUCAGGUUUGUGACUUGCGUGGUUUCAUGUUCACACGCACAAACUUUUAGGAAGGGAAAGCUGCUCAUUAAAGGCCUCUCUUUCUGCUCU